GAUUAACGCUGGCGGCGUGCAUAACACAUGCAAGUCGAACGAUGAAACUUAAAUGAUUUCUUCGGAAUGAACUUAAGUGGAUUAGUGGCGGACGGGUGAGUAACGCGUGAGUAACCUGCCUUACACAAGGGGAUAGCCGUUGGAAACGACGAAUAAUACCCUAUGAUGUUUCUAUCUCGCAUGAGAUAUUAACCAAAGUGUUAGCGGUGUAAGAUGGACUUGCGUCUGAUUAGCUAGUUGGUGAGAAAAAAGCCCACCAAGGCAACGAUCAGUAGCCGGCUUGAGAGAGUGUACGGCCACAUUGGGACUGAGACACGGCCCAGACUCCUCCGGGAGGCAGCAGUGGGGAAUUUUGCACAAUGGGGGAAACCCUGAUGCAGCGACGCCGCGUGAUUGAGAAGGCCUUCGGGUUGUAAAAAUCUUUUGUAUAGGAAGAAAAUGACAGUACUAUACGAAUAAGGGCCGGCUAAUUACGUG
rnacentral:rRNA from 1 species